rnacentral:lncRNA from 1 species
AAUUAAAAGAAAAACGAGUUAUAAGAAUUAAGGUAAAGUGACUGCCCUAUCUUUGUCUUCCUUAAACACGAGUCUAAGUAUGAUAUUUUAAGUGUAUUGUUGAUAAGAACUCGUGGGAUGAUGAUGGGAAACUAUGGUUUCACGUCCUCUAUUGUAUGUUGGAUUGUUAGGACUGUUUUUGGGACAGGUUGAUGUAUAAACAUAUUGGGGACAACUUGGUUGAUUUCUGGAAAGGGUGUAAAUUGCUGAUAUUGAAAUAUAGUUGUGUAGUGUACAAAUGCAAUAAAAGAAGG